rnacentral:lncRNA from 1 species
UCUCCACCUCUUCUGAUUAGCUUAGGUAACCAUGACAUACUGCUAGGUGUCACUCAUUUUUUGUGGAAGCCCUAAACGUGUAUAAUCACUAAAGGGAGAAUUGAAAGUAAGUUUCAAUUCACAAUCAAUUUGAAAGAGUUCUAAUCGCCCACUGCCUUGCUAAAAGGAACCUAAUGGAUCGUACACCGUGUAAGGUAGAGAUUGAAGAAACAAUGGAGAUGAGUAAGGAUAAUUAAAUGGUUUAAUUAUUCAUGGCUAGGAUUAAUUAAUAUGUUAAUUAAUCAAACGAAUAAGUUUGUUAUAGACCUCGGGUUAGUUUUGGGCCGCAAGGCCCAAUGGGAUUUGAAUGUCAAGCCCAUUAACUCAAGUUGUAUGACAACUUGAAACCACAAAGGGCUUGAAAGCCCAAAGAACGCUUAAUGGCUGGCCAUAUAGAGAGGGGUAGUGAACUUGGCUGAAUUUCAAGUUUUCCACUCCAUUGUGAGGUGGUAUAAAGGCAACUUUAUAGCCAUUUCAUCCUUAGGGUUUCUUUUGGAGAAAAGAUGAGAACACAAGCUCCCUUUUCUCUCUAAGAGGCUGGCCACCCUAGAGGAUUUUAGCUAGCAAUCUUACUUCCUCUAGGUCACUCAUCUCUUCUUCAAGUCCUACCUUGGUGUGGAGACUUAGAGGUUCUCAACUUUGGAAACUUGGAGAAUCCUUUCAACCAUCCUCAUCCAAGAAAUCCAUGGAGCUAAGAAGCAAGGAAUGAAGGCCUCUCCUCGGGUGAUUAGCCUUUGCUUAUGCAAAGAGGAAUCAACAAAGGUAUAAAAUUUCUCAACUCAAUUUGUUCUUGAGUUGAGUCUUGGUUCACAUAACUACUAGGCUUUGAAUUUCAUGGGUAAUGUUUUGUUUGAGUGCAUACAAGCAUGAUUCCGCCUUUAAUUCUUAAUUGCAUGCCAAGAUGUUGCUCAAAUGAACAUGUUUUUUACAAAAUUUCCUUCAAGUGGUAUCAAGAGCCUAGGUCUAGUAGUUGGUGAAUCCUCUUGGGUUUUGUAUUUUCAUAGUUUAUGAUUUGAAUGUUGUAAUUGUUACAAGCUUUAUUCUUGCUUCUUUGAAUGUAAAUUUUGUUAGAAAAUUUGUCAUCUCAAAUGUUGUAGAUGUAGUUCAUAUGAGCAUGAAUUUUGGAGCUAAAAUUUGGUGCCAUGUUUUUGGGGAAAUUCGGCCAAAUCCAAAGGGUGGAUUUUUGGGUUCAUGUUUGUCUUGUUAAAAGUAUUUUUAAGUGACAUUAGGAACCCCUAAGUACCCUAGUAUGGUAAUAUAUUUUUUUCCCUUAAGUUUGAGAGUUUUCGGGGUGUCUUUGGGUGAAAAAUGUGCAUGGAGCUCUUAUGGGUUUUCAUGGAUGUUCUUCAUUGUUCUUGUUAUGUUUUUGGCAAGAACAAAAAGGUUGGGUAUUUUGAUUCAAAGUUUUUGGUUGUUUACAUAAAGUUUUUGUUAAUGAUGGACAGUUUGAAUUUUCAAUCAAUACCCAUACCUUUUUCAAACCAUACCAAUCACUUACACCUUUUCCUUAUUUCAAGGAACCAUGUUUUAUGGAAAUCACUUUUUCAAAUCUACCCAUCACCUUUCACUUUUGUUGAAAAAUUCAAAAGUUUUAUGACACCUUCUCUCAUCCAAAACCGGCCACCCUAUUAAAUAGGGUACUUUUUGGGCUUUUAUGCAAUUACAUAAAGUUUUGAUACUUUUGUGUAUUUGUAUUUUGACCCGAAAGUUUAAAUUUUUACGUAAACGCCCAAAAUCACUAAAGGACAAAAUGUUUGCUCCUUUAAUGAAGUUUUUUUAUUUUGAUGAAAUUUUUGGGUUCUAGUUGUAAUUACAUGAAGUAGUGGACUUUUGUGUUUUUACAAAGUGACCUCAAAAGUUUGUGUUUUGCAAUAUAGCUCAAUAAUUGAGGUUAUUGUUUUUCGGCCCAAAUUAGUUGAGAACAAAAUAGUUUUGUAUCUUUAAAUGAGAAUUGGAUUUUCAUUUCAUUUAGCUCCAUUUAAAUCAAUUCUAUGGAUACAAAAACCAAAUGAAAAUGUUGCAUUCAAGUUUAAUUAGUUAAACCGUUAAUUAAUUAAAGAAAGGGUGAUUAUGAACCUAAGCCUAUGAUAAUUGAGCUAUGUGAAAGGCCGUCUCAAAUUUGUUUUAACCAUGGGAAUAUGUAGAUUAGAUUUUGGUUGUAAUUUGAUGUGAUCAAAUAUUGUAAAAGAGCAUAAGCUCUUCUUUACUUUAAAGUAAUUUGUUUUGAUCAAAUGUUGUAAAAGAGCAUAAGCUCUUCUUUACUUUGAAGUACUUCUUUCUUGCUUUAUUUGAUAUGCAUGAAAAUCAAGUAGAGGGUCCAACGCCCAAUAAGAAAACACGCCUUAAUGUGAGUAAACGUGUAACUAAAAUCAAUCACCAUCCCUAGAUCGAGAUUCAACACUAGGCUCGUGUUGGUUCGAAUCAAAGGUUCAUAGUCAUCCUAAGGCCCUAAGGCAACCAUAUAGUCCAUCAAUGAAUGCAAACCUUAUGUUAGUAGUACCAUAUACUCUUACUUUAAAAAACAUUUUACAAGCAUAGUGGGAGUAUCAUAUACAACUAAAUCAAUCACAUGGACCAAUAAUUGUAAUAGGACCAAAUUGUUUUCAUAAGAUUAAAAUGCAUGCUUAUAUGUGAUGAGACCUAAAACCCUUAACCAAACCAUUAUUAAGUUGAUAAGCGUGAGAGUGCUUUGAACACUCUUUCGUGGCCUUCCACCGUGAUAGGCUCCAAUCGUUUGUGACUCGUACACCGACUUCACCCUAUCAUGGGGGAGUACAAAGUGCAUGCUUACACUCAGGAGGAGUUCUAUAUGCAUACAUGAUGUUGUGAAGGUAGGCAAUGAGAAUGAUCAACAUCAUAUUAUUGUGAGGUUGUUCUUGAACCCCUACUCGAACUUGCAUGGUGGGAAUGACUUAAUUAAGUGCAAUGGAACCAACAUCAUAUCAUUGUGAGGCUUCAUUCUCUAGAGGCCAAAUAAGAUGGGUACUUGCAAGAGAUGCAAAUGAGUAAGCGUACUCUCUCAUUAUUAUUGAUGCUAGCCAACAUCAUAUCAUUGUGAGGUGGGCUUGGUAAUGAUGAGUCUCCCAUACCCUACUAAGAGUUUCCUCCAAAACUCUCGAAUUCCGAUGAGGGAUAUGGAAUUUACAAAAAAAAAAUUGUGGGUAGUGCUAUUUGAUUUAAAGACCCGGAUCAAAUGACUUAAAAUCAAUCAAUUUAUAUUCGUUAUUUAUUUAUUUACCAAUAUAUUUACAAACAAAACUUGACAAAGAAAAAGCCGUAAGCUUUAGUUUCCGGACUUGGUACUACAAUCCCAUAGAUUGUCUUUAAUGGCUUGUAUAUGUACCUAAGUAGUCUCAUCCUCGCAAUCUUCCUAUUGAUAAUGUAUCAUUGGAAGAACAUGUUAGAUAAGUCUAUCAUAAAGAGGACAACACUUUUAAUGUCAUAAUUCUUCAAUUACAAAUUAUUGUAUGAAGAAGUAAGAGUUGCUUUGAACAACUCUUAGUUAACGCAAAUAUUAGUGCUUGUUUCUUUGUUACAUGAACAAGGAACUUGAGAAGUAAGCACAAGGGAAUUGACACUUUAUGUGCCAUGAUUCUUCACUUACAAAUUGUUGUAUGAAGAAAUGAGAGUUGCCUUGAACAACUCUUGAAAGUUCGUAAUUAUGUUUAGAACAUAAUGGUUGGUAGACAAAAAUAGUCCAUCAACAUGGACUUAUGAUGAUUUUGAAUCAUUGAGUGUUGAAGUGUUAAACCACUUCAUGAGACAGAAACUAGGCAAGGACUUCACUUUUGUGUCCCUAUCCAAAUGGUUCACUAAACUAUAUAGUGAACAAUAACCACACGCUCUCCAAAUUGUUUGAUGUGUAUAACACAAUUGAAAUAAGUUUCAAGAGACAUAGUGGGAGUUUAGGGACCAUGACUAUUGUAGUCAAUGGAGAAGUCAAAUGAAGAAGGCGAAAUAACUCCAAGGGAACAAACUUUCUUUAUGAAAGGAUGGACAUUGGAAGGGGGUAUUUGCAAGAAAUGUCUUGCAAGUGUCAAGAACACACCUUUCAAAGGUGUUGUAAAUUGUUCUUGAAUAGUUCAAAACAGUCGGUUCUUCUACUUGAAUGCUUGAUUCCGUAUUAGUAACUAUGUUUUACAAUCGUUGUAAAAGUGUGGCUAAUAAGAAGUAGAAGAUUAAUGAGAGAAGAGAAAGUACUUCACAUUCGGAACGUGAAUCAAAUGUAGAUCUUUGCGAAAGCAGGUAGUACUUACUUCCUCAUAUGAACUACCAAAGAAAAUGGAAAAACAAAGAUUGUCUUUACAUUCCAAUUGGAAUAAAUGAACAUAGUUCCGUAUGAGAAAUGGAUGAAUGUUUUGUUUGACAAAACAUUGUUCUUUAUUAAUGAAGGAUUAGAUUAUUGUAAUCUAAUUGAUUAUCUCUAUAGUAGAGAUGAUAUGGUAGUGUUAACUGUUUAGAGUAUAACGAUGCUUAAAACCAAAAGGUUGCAAGGUAGUGACUAAUCCCAACUGAGUUGUGAUACCUCUAAAACAUAAAUUAUGACUUGGUCAUAGAUGGAUGCUUUGGAUCGUUGGAUCCGGAUCCAAUGCCUUCUUGUUAAAAUUGUAUAGAGGCAAAAUGUUUGAAUCUUUAUUCUUUUGGAAAGGAAGAAAGAAUCACAAAGUUGUUGAGGUUAAUUCACUUAGAUGUUAGUGGCACUUGUCCACAACAUAAUACUACUCAUGUUGUAUGACAUUCACCGAAGAUCGCUCUCGGUUGGACUAUCGUUUAUUUUAAAUAAACACAAGUCCGAAUACUUUGCAAAAGGUUUCAAAGAAUUCAAGAAUGUAAGUUGAUGAGUAAGACGUCUAAAGUAUUUACCUCCUUAGAUUUGAUCCAAGGAAAGGUAACACUUUAGAAUAGUUUCCUUGAAAGAUAUCAAGGAAAGAAGCAUCAUAAGAUAAUGGAUUUCUCCAUUAGGAGAAGAACGAACUUGAAUAAGAUUUAGUUUGUUGGAUGUUAUCAAUUACCCAUAUAUAGGAUAUAUACUUCUAAGACAAUAUGAUUGUCAAUUAGAAGAUCUUCCAAAAUUUUCAUGACUCCAUAGGAUGUAGUUGGAAAGAAAGUUAAGUCUUAAUCGUGUUAAGAUUUGGGGAUGUGUGCUAAUAAGCAAUAUUUGUUUGAGAAUUAUCUUGUGAUAUCCUAAAAUUAACCUUUGGAUAUCACUUCUAUAAACCAACUAACAAAUGUUGUUUUGUUGGGUAGUUCAUUAUAAUCCUACAAUAUGAUUUGCCUAAGCGCAAAUGAGCGAGAGAUAGAACUCAAAGAAUGGGUUCUUUGAGAGACAAGAUGGUAAUCAACAAAUAUAACAACCUAGUUCCUACACCGCAAGCUCCAAGGUAGUCGAGACGGAUUUAUAAACCAUCUCAGUUGAAUGGUUUGAACUUUAUGACUAUGUCAUAGAGUUACAUCUCUUAAUUCGAAAGAAAUAAGAAUGAAAAUCCUUAUGACUACAUUGAGUGUACACACGACAUAUACUCAAGGAAAUGGGAAGGUACCAUUUGACCCGAAAUAGUGAAACCUUUAAUAGCUAAUUGGUACCUUAAGGUGACUACAAUCAAAGAGAUUGGUUGACUUGGAAGAAACCAUCUUUGACGUAGUCUUGGUUUCAAUUAAUUCAAAGAUUGCUAGCUACAACUAAAUGGUGAUUCAAUGUUUGGACAUAAUAUGGGUUUCCAAAACCAUUAUUAAGAUAGUCUUGAUAAUAUAUGUCUAAAACUAUGAAUCACAAGACAUGUAAGUUGUAGAGAUCCAUCCAUCAUGAAUCUUAGCAAGCUUGUGGGAGCUAUAAGCGUCUUAUGAGAGAAAGAUCAAAUCGUUUGAUUUCUCAUAAAGAUGUAAAUGAAUCUUUUGUUUACUAGGUUUACAAAAGAUUAGUGGGAGUUAAUCAUGUUCCUAAAUUUGAAUAUUAUAUAUAUAUACACACACACACACACACACACACACACACAUAUAUGAUAUAUUAAUUUUGGAAAUGAAAAGAAAACUUCUUCGUUAAAGUUAUGACUUUAAACAUUCUAUAACGAUAGAAUGUAUAUGGGAGACAUAGUCUAUAAACAUGGGAUAGAAAUCUAUAAUGAUUGAUUUCAGGAUAUAAUUGGAUUAUAUCAAGCCCUAAUGAUAGACAAAAGAUGCUAGGAAGUUUCUCAUAUGAUGAUAAACUUUAAUCAGAAGAACAGCUCUAGUGAGACUAGGAGGUAACUUUUCUCAAAGGGAACGUACCCUUUUGACUCCUAAAGAAACAUAAUGCGCAAAUAUAAUCCUUUAAGUAUACGCAGAAAAGUGAUUUAUGUAAUUCAUAUUGUAUGAAAAACGUUGAUAUGAGUUGUACCAAGAUCGGUACAAGAUGAUAUCAAUGCAAGCCGAAGAUCAUAACUAUGGCAACUGUCAAAUGAAUCCCUUAAGUAUUUGAGAAAUAAUAAAGGACGGAUUCCUCAAGAAUGAGGAAGAAUUAGAGUAACGUAAUGGAAGCGUAAAUGUAUUAAAUUUUGAAUCUAAUCCAUCAUUGGAUGUUUCUUCAUUAUGAAUGAAGAGAUAAUCAGAUAUCUCUUUAUUAUGACUAAAGAGAUAUAUGGAUGGAAACAUUAAAAGUAAUGACUUUAGUGUGUUCCAUUGUGAAUGCAAAAUAUAUUGCCACAUAGAAGCUUACAACAAUGUUGUUUGGAUGAGAAAGUUCAUUCAUGAACUCUCUAUUCGGUUCCAACCAGAAAGUGUCUCUAGUGUACUGACACUACGACACUAAUGGGGCGAUAGCUCAAGCUAGGGAAUCAAGGUCUCAUCAUGAUCUGAGCUCAAAUGAGAGACUAAACCACAUGAUUAAUAAUCAUGUAUAAUGGUGACGUCUUUAUUCUCAAGGUUGCUUCUAUGGAUAACAUAUAGAUAUCCAUUGUCUAGGCCUACUACUCAGCCAUUUUUGAAAAGACUACAGAAGAGGUAUCAUCAUUGAUGACCAAGCUGAUUGGCUUUAGUGCAAGUGGGAUAUUGUUGGAAAUGUGCCCUAAAACUAAUCAUAUGAUGAUACUUUACGGACAUUUCAUAUAGUUUAAUUUAAAGGGCAAAGAUUAUUGUUUGAAGCCGUCUCAUAUAAAUGUUAUACUCUUAAAUGAUAAGUCCAAGGAACAUGUAAUUGAGAAUGCGAUCUAAAUAAGUUAGAUUCAUGAGACCAUUCUCUUUCGUACACAUAUCCUAAACGUUCCUGUUCAUAAGAUUGCCAAUUGGGCAUUGACCAUCCGUUAAGAUCAGUACGUGCUAUGUCUUCUCUUAGGGAGAGUGACUGGUCUCGAGUCAUUGGUGUGACUGACACCAAGACAAGUACGUAGGUGCUCAAUAGAGAAUGAGUUCACUGAAUGCGAUCAACAAGGAGUUCUCAUACUCAUGUCACAUGAGAACUCAUGGUUGGGAUAAUGCAAAGUAGUCCUUUGACCUGAGGCAUCAUAGUUGUCUUGUGGUUAGGUCCUUGAUCUUUGACUAUGUCAAAGUCACUCCAUCCGAGGGUGUCCACGACAUAAUUGGGGUUAAGCCACUUAGCCAUGGAGGCAAGUGAAUGCGCAACAAGGGAUCUCUAACCUUCAAACUGUUUGAGGGAGAAUACUCUAUGAUAUGAUUAAGAAUCUCUGGCCAGAGUAUGAAUGAGAUUUAGGAAGUCGUUCCAAAUCACAUUCAAGGUAAUCAUAUAAGUAAAUGAAUCAAAUUGGAUAGUAGACAUGAAUAAACUAUCAAACCAAACAAUGUGGUCAAGAGUAUUGUAUUAGAGAGAAAGACCGUAUUGCAUUUGUAAUCCUAAACUGAAUAGGUUCUCCACCUCUUCUAAUUAGCUUGGGUAACCAUGACAUACUGCUAGGUGUCACUCAUGGUUUGUGGAAGCCCUAAAUGUGUAUAAUCACUAAAGGGAGAAUUGAAAGUAAGUUUCAAUUCACACUCGAUUUGAAAGAGUUCUAAUCGCCCACUGCCUUGCUAAAAGGAACCUAAUGGAUCACACACCGUGUAAGGUAGAGAUUGAAGAAACAACAGAGAUGAGUAAGGAUAAUUAAAUGGUUUAAUUAUUUAUGGCUAGGAUUAAUUAAUAUGUUAAUUAAUCAAACGAAUAAGUUCGUUAUAGACCUCGGGUUAGUUUUGGGCCGCAAGGCCCAAUGGGAUUUGAAUGUCAAGCCCAUUAACUCAAGUUGUAUGACAACUUGAAACAACAAAGGGCUUGAAAGCCCAAUGAACCCUUAAUGGCCGGCCAUAUAGAGAGGGGUAGUGAACUUGGCUUAAUUGCAAGUUUGCCACUCCAUUGUAAGGUGGUAUAAAGGCAACUUUAUAGCCAUUUCAUCCUUAGCGUUUCUUUUGGAGAAAAGAUGAGAACACAAGCUCCCUUUUUUCUCUAAGAGGCCGGCCACCCUAGAGGAUUUUAGCUAGCAAUCUUACUUCCUCUAGGUCACUCAUCUCUUCUU